CGACUCCACAAAACACAGUCGUUACAUUUCAACCUUUCCGUUCAGUUCAGUUCGUUCAGAAAAACUACGCUGAAGAUGUUGAGCAGUCGUACGUUGUUGUUGGCAGCGCUGUUGGUGUCUGCUGUCUGCUGCUUGGUUAGCGCCCAGAGUACAAAUAACAGCACAAACUCAACAAAUGCGGGCUUGUUGACGGGCGUCAACAACCUGCUCCAAAACAUAUUAUCAGGCGUGUCAGCACUACUUGGAAGUUUAGGAAUAUUAGGCCGCUAACACAUCUAUUGACAUCAGAAGCUGCAACGACCCAACAUUGAUAUGUAUUAAAACAAUGUAAAUUUAUGUCAAAUAAAAUCUUCAAAGAACGAGUAAUUGCUAAGCUCAC